UACGAGAGGUCCAAACGUUAUUCGGAAUUACUGGGCUUACAGAGUUCGUAGGCGGCUCUACAAGUGAGGUGUGAAAUCCCCAGGCUCAACCUGGGAACUGCAUCCGAUACUGGAUGGCUUGAAUCCGGGAGAGGGAUGCAGAAUUCCAGGUGUAGCGGUGAAAUGCGUAGAUAUCUGGAGGAAUACCGGUGGCGAAGGCGGCAUCCUGGACCGGCAUUGACGCUGAGGAGCGAAAGCUAGGGGAGCAAACGGG
rnacentral:rRNA from 1 species